CGAGCGAACUGAUUAGAAGCUUGCUUCUAUGACGUUAGCGGCGGACGGGUGAGUAACACGUGGGCAACCUGCCUGUAAGACUGGGAUAACUUCGGGAAACCGAAGCUAAUACCGGAUAGGAUCUUCUCCUUCAUGGGAGAUGAUUGAAAGAUGGUUUCGGCUAUCACUUACAGAUGGGCCCGCGGUGCAUUAGCUAGUUGGUGAGGUAACGGCUCACCAAGGCCACGAUGCAUAGCCGACCUGAGAGGGUGAUCGGCCACACUGGGACUGAGACACGGCCCAGACUCCUACGGGAGGCAGCAGUAGGGAAUCUUCCGCAAUGGACGAAAGUCUGACGGAGCAACGCCGCGUGAGUGAUGAAGGCUUUCGGGUCGUAAAACUCUGUUGUUAGGGAAGAACAAGUACAAGAGUAACUGCUUGUACCUUGACGGUACCUAACCAGAAAGCCACGGCUAACUACGUGCCAGCAGCCGCGGUAAUACGUAGGUGGCAAGCGUUAUCCGGAAUUAUUGGGCGUAAAGCGCGCGCAGGCGGUUUCUUAAGUCUGAUGUGAAAGCCCACGGCUCAACCGUGGAGGGUCAUUGGAAACUGGGGAACUUGAGUGCAGAAGAGAAAAGCGGAAUUCCACGUGUAGCGGUGAAAUGCGUAGAGAUGUGGAGGAACACCAGUGGCGAAGGCGGCUUUUUGGUCUGUAACUGACGCUGAGGCGCGAAAGCGUGGGGAGCAAACAGGAUUAGA
rnacentral:rRNA from 1 species